CGUUUUUGGGAUGUCGCUUUCGUGCACUGCACUCUAAAUCUCGCAGAGUGGGAUUUGGAGGGUGACAGCAGUUUUCGCUCCGUUUCGUGUCAAACAACGCAAAUUUACUGUCUUGGUAGCAGAACAUGUUUUCCACUUGCAAUAAUAACCUUGGGGAAGGGAGUGAAUUGAAGGAGCAGGACGACCCCCUGUCUUGCCAUUGUCCACCCCGACUGACCAAACAAGUUUGCUAAGCCAAAGAACGCCAUUUCAAGCGAGGACAGUCGUAACAAUGGAUACAGCUCCUUUGCCAAAAGAGGCAUUACAUGAUAGUUCAAAAUUAUCAGAUUUUUAUAACUGCAAGAAGUUCCCGAAGAUGCUGUUAAUGUCCUAAAAGGGUAAAGGCAAAGCAAGUAUUUUAGCAUCAGGCUGUUAUUUGAAAAAAAAAAAAAAAAAAAAAAAAAAAAAAAUCCAAAUUCUGCACUUCUAAUAUUUGCUAAAUGGAAUAGAAGACAUGGAAUCUCUUGGACCAGCUCAGAAUAAACAGCCCAUUAUAGUGUGUAUUACAAGUUCAUUCUAUAUUAAAGCAGUAAAAUCACUUAAUAGCAUGCCCAAAUCAUGCCAUGAAGGCAUUUGACAUUCUAUUUAAAACUAAUUUUGUAUUUAGCGUUCAAUAUGCACAUACAUCAACAAAUUUUUAUAAUUUUGUGGCAAGCCUUUUGUAUAAUGUCAGCACUCCUAGAGCUUGUGUGGACUCUUUAAAUACAU
rnacentral:lncRNA from 1 species